rnacentral:rRNA from 1 species
AGCAGCCGCGGUAAUUCCAGCUCCAAUAGCGUAUAUUAAAGUUGUUGCAGUUAAAAAGCUCGUAGUUGAAUUUCGGGAUCAAAUUGUCGGUCGUGCCUCGGUACGCACUGGUAUUAUUGGUUCCUACCUUCUGAAGAACCGCGAUGUCAUUAAUUUGGUGUCGUGGGGAAUCAGGACUGUUACUUUGAAAAAAUUAGAGUGUUUAAAGCAGGCUUACGCUUGAAUACAUUAGCAUGGAAUAAUGAAAUAGGACGUUUGAUUCUAUUUUGUUGGUUUCUAGGAUUGACGUAAUGAUUAAUAGGGAUAGUUGGGGGCAUUAGUAUUCAAUUGUCAGAGGUGAAAUUCUUGGAUUUAUUGAAGACUAACUACUGCGAAAGCAUUUGCCAAGGAUGUUUUCAUUAAUCAAGAACGAAAGUUAGGGGAUCGAAGACGAUCAGAUACCGUCGUAGUCUUAACCAUAAACUAUGCCGACUAGGGAUCGGAUGAUGUUAAUUUUUUAAUGACUCA